UACCAGCACCCCGAGUGGUCGGGACGUUUAUUGGGCCUAAAGCAUCCGUAGCCGGUUCUGCAAGUCUUCCGUUAAAUCCACCUGCUUAACAGAUGGGCCGCGGAAGAUACUAUAGAGCUAGGAGGCGGGAGAGGCAAGCGGUACUCGAUGGGUAGGGGUAAAAUCCGUUGAUCCAUCGAAGACCACCAGUGGCGAAGGCGGCUUGCCAGAACGCGCUCGACGGUGAGGGAUGAAAGCUGGGGGAGCAAACCGG
rnacentral:rRNA from 1 species